GAGGCAAUAGUUUAAUGGAAAAACGCACAUUGCCAAUAUGAUACGCGGGUUCGAAUCCUGCUUGCCUCC
rnacentral:tRNA from 1 species